rnacentral:rRNA from 1 species
UACGGGAGGGCAGCAGUGGGGAAUAUUGCACAAUGGGCGCAAGCCUGAUGCAGCCAUGCCGCGUGUAUGAAAAAGGCCUUCGGGUUGUAAAGUACUUUCAGUCGUGAGGAAGGUGUUAAGGUUAAUAACCUUAGCAAUUGACGUUAGCGACAGAAGAAGCACCGGCUAACUCCGUGCCAGCAGCCGCGGUAAUACGGAGGGUGCGAGCGUUAAUCGGAAUUACUGGGCGUAAAGGGCACGCAGGCGGUUAAUUAAGUUGGAUGUGAAUCCCCGGGCUUAACCUGGGAAUGGCAUUCAAGACUGGUUAGCUAGAGUCUUGUAGAGGGGGUAGAAUUCCAUGUGUAGCGGUGAAAUGCGUAGAGAUGUGGAGGAAUACCGGUGGCGAAGGCGGCCCCUGGACAAAGACUGACGCUCAUGUGCGAAAGCGUGGGGAGCAAACAGGGAUUAGAUACC